UUCCCUGUGUUUUUUUGUUAGAAUAACAGUAAGAAUUUGUAUAACCAAACUAUGAUACAGCCUAGUUCUUGGGAAAGGACGAUAAAACAUGGUCUCUAAUCAACUAGAUUUCAUCACAGAUUAUUCACUGAAAUUGCACGCUGCGCACUGUUGAACUACAGACGUUCCGCAAGUUCUGUAACAAACACCUUUACUUUGCAAGAUAAAAGAACAUCAAAAUAGUAAUGUUGCCUAGCUAUGGUUUGUAAAGUUAUGCGUGUUUCUCCCUCAACUUGGCUGGCAACGCAUGGCACAAUCAAGCUAGCUGGCUAGUUAAAACUCCUUUCCGGAUUUAGUAUAUAACUCACAAGCUAGUCUGGCGAAGAGGAAUCGCUUGCCAAGAAGACUGAAAUGAAGCGGAAUACAGUUUAGUUGACGGCAUAAUGUGGAAGGGGUGGGAUCAAUUUGAAGCCUACAUUUCCCAGCAUUCAGCAGGAACGUCAUCAUUUUCUUUGCUUUUGUUGGACUGCAACACCCAGGAUUCCUUCAAAUAUUUUGCAGCCUCAGGUGCAGGUCAACAGCGGCCCAUUCUCACGGUGCCUCUGCCAGUGGCUGACCAGCCUGGCACUCUUCUUAAACGACACGCCGCAAAGGCAGCAGAUGUAGCAGCCGGAUCGGACGUGCCUCAGCUCGUGGCGAAAAAGACCGAGGCGGCUGCCAAACGAUCGGCCGCACUGGCACGCGUGCUCGGCAGACGGCGGCCUCCUGUGUCUCCUCCGCCGAUGCAGAGCAAGCGAAUGAGGCCAGGUGAAACGUCCGCCACAGUCUGAACAGCGGCGCGCUUCGGGGGGAAACUGCGAUCGACUGGGAGGAUGCACGUGCAGUUUAUUCAGAGCUGUAAGGGGUGAACUCUGCGAUUCAACACAGCCUUCGUCCAUAGAUUUGUCAGUAUGACUUUCAAAUAUCUGAACUUUUUUGUUCUCAGUCACUUUUGGGUUUUGCUGGCGGACAUACACUUUCUUGACAAAUCCCAUUUUGGUUGCAUCUGAGGUUUUUGUGUUGUGGCAUGGAUCAAACAUGCAGAUCUUGAGUAAUGUUUCAGGUCUUGAUUCCAAGGGAGGGAAGUCAGAGGUUUCUGCAUUCUGUGAAUUAUUGGCUAGGGACCUCCCUUGGAGGCUGAAUUUGUAAUCCUUGGGCUGGGUAUUUUUAAUGGAAACGUCCAGCCUGUUAUCUGGAAAAGUAGUGGUGUAACCGGAAGAGUUCAAUUGAGGUGAGCUUCGGGGAAAGUAUUGAGACAUCUUUGUCUUUCCCAAGAUUUCAUUCAUGAGGACUUCCCUAGACCGGAAAAGCGGGGACUGAGUGAGAACUGAAAGACUUCCCUGCAGAAUGGUAGUCACCGGCUGGUUAGAUGUCUCUGUUUCUGACAGCUCCUUGCGACGAAGGAGAGCCCUCUCCUGAGCCUUCUGCCAGCUGGACGAGUGGACCUGGGCGUGCAUAGCCAGCCAAAACUUACUUUCAAACCUUCUCCCGCAAUCUUUGCACUCAAACAACCUCAGGGUCUCAAGCAGGAGCUCCUGGCUCACCGCAGAGGUGGCAAUGGAGGCAUUGCUUUCGGGGAAUGAUUUACCGUGGACCUUCAAGUGCAGGUUGAGUUUCCAGUGGUUGGGCAGCUGCAGGCUGCACGAGCGGCACUUCAAGGGAAGGGCGCGGUGGACCCUCAAAUGAGAGCCCAAGUUGAGAUGAGAGGAAAAGGAGGCGCCGCAAAAGUUGCAUCCAUGGGCACCUUUUCCAAAUCUCCUGUUCCCUGGAUGAUUCCCAAUAACUCUGCUUCUUUCUCCCGUAAAGUCGUGUGCUAAUAUGGUUCCACUGGCCGCUGUGUCUGUUUUACUCAUGUCAUUAUCCACCAAGGCAUGCUGCUGACCACCGCGCCGAUUCAGAACACUACUGGGAUGGGGCUGGUCGACACUGUUUUCCUCAGUCUCAACAUUAUUACUCUCUACAGGGAAUGUUCCAGAAUCCUGGGUACCUCUCUGCCCUUCUGUACAAACUGGAUGGAGCCCUACCUAAAAAAAGAUAAAAAGCUACCAAUUAUUCUUAAGAAAAUGUGGAUUAUGCAAUCUCAAAUAAAUCUCAUUACACUGCC